rnacentral:rRNA from 1 species
GAUGAACGCUGGCGGCGUGCCUAAUACAUGCAAGUCGAGCGAACGGACGAGAAGCUUGCUUCUCUGAUGUUAGCGGCGGACGGGUGAGUAACACGUGGAUAACCUACCUAUAAGACUGGGAUAACUUCGGGAAACCGUAGCUAAUACCGGAUAAUAUUUUGAACCGCAUGGUUCAAAAGUGAAAGACGGUCUUGCUGUCACUUAUAGAUGGAUCCGCGCUGCAUUAGCUAGUUGGUAAGGUAACGGCUUACCAAGGCAACGAUGCAUAGCCCACCUGAGAGGGUGAUCGGCCACACUGGAACUGAGACACGGUCCAGACUCCUACGGGAGGCAGCAGUAGGGAAUCUUCCGCAAUGGGCGAAAGCCUGACGGAGCAACGCCGCGUGAGUGAUGAAGGUCUUCGGAUCGUAAAACUCUGUUAUUAGGGAAGAACAUAUGUGUAAGUAACUGUGCACAUCUUGACGGUACCUAAUCAGAAAGCCACGGCUAACUACGUG